rnacentral:rRNA from 1 species
AAGCAUGGAUGGCCAAAUUAUGACAUGUGCCCUCUUUGCAAGAGGGUGCAAGAAAGCGGGACUCACCUCCUCUACAAGUGCCGCUACACGAGAAGGCUAUGGUCUUUGGUCAUUGACAAAUACCACAUUCUCGGGCUCGACACAAACACUUGGCCCUUGUUCGACACGGUUGAGGCUUGGUGGGCAAGUACUUGCGACAGCGCCACGCCAUUCAGACAAGCCAAGGCAUCCCUCACCAUGCUUGUCUCAUGGACUAUUUGGAACGAGCGAAACGCGAGAGUGUUCAAGCAGAAGAGCGCGCCACCGACUGCAUUGCUCGCCUCUGGAUCAUCGCCGGUGCGAAAAAACUAG